AUGGGCAGCCUUUGCUCCAAGGAGCAGGUUGUCGAGGAGGAACACGUGCCGGUGCCGGUGCCGGACAGGUUGCGGCUGCAGAAAGCGCCCAGCCAAUCCCUGAAGCAGCUCAUCACUCUCACCGCCAAGGAGGAUUCUGCGGUCGUCGCGCCGAUCGUGCACGCCGUCAUCAGCAGGUCCGAGUCCAGCGUCAAGCCCAAGGCGCAGCCUACCACCGCACCCCAGAAGAAGGCUCCGGUGCUCGUCGUCGCCUCUCUCAACAAGUCGUACAGCACAGCCGGGCUCACGCACCACCGGCGGCCCACCGUGGACACCGGCGACCAUGAUGCAGCGGACCCCAUCCCGCAGGGCGUGCCCCAGGGGUUCUCCGGCGAGCACGUGAUCGCCGGCUGGCCGUCCUGGCUAACCUCCGUGGCCGGGGAGGUGGUCCAUGGGUGGCUGCCCCGCCGUGCCGACACCUUCGAGAGGUUGGACAAGAUCGGGCAGGGCACGUACAGCAACGUGUACAUGGCGCGCGACCUGCAGAGCGGCAAGAUCGUGGCGCUGAAGCGGGUGCGCUUCCUCAACAUGGACCCGGAGAGCGUGCGGUUCAUGGCGAGGGAGAUCCACAUCCUGCGCCGGCUUGACCACCCCAACGUGAUCAAGCUGGAGGGCAUCGUCACGUCACGCCUCUCCCACAGCCUCUACCUCGUCUUCGAGUACAUGGAGCACGACCUCGCCGGCCUCGCCGUCACCCCGGGCCUCCGCUUCACCGAGCCGCAGGUCAAGUGCUUCAUGAGGCAGAUCCUGGCGGGGCUCCACCAUUGCCACGGCCGUGGGGUGCUCCACAGGGACAUCAAAGGGUCCAACCUGCUCAUCGACGACAACGGCGUGCUCAAAAUCGCCGACUUCGGGCUGGCCACCUUCUUCGACCCGGCCAAGACACAGCACCUCACGAGCAGGGUCGUCACGCUGUGGUACCGCCCGCCGGAGCUCCUGCUCGGAGCCACCGAGUACGGGGUCGCGGUCGACCUGUGGAGCACCGGCUGCAUCCUCGCCGAGCUGCUCGCCGGAAAGCCCAUCAUGCCCGGACAGACCGAGAUUGAGCAGCUGCACAAGAUCUUCAAACUCUGCGGUUCGCCGUCUGAGGAGUACUGGGCCAAGGCGAAGCUGCCGGACGUGACCCUCUUUAAGCCGCAGCGACCCUACAGGCGCCGGACGGCCGAGACCUUCCGGGACUUCCCUCCCACGGCGCUGGACCUCGUGGACACGCUGCUGGCCAUCGAACCCUCCCACCGGGGCACCGCAGCUUCGGCACUCGACAGCCAAUUCUUCAGAACCAAGCCGUUGGCGUGUGACCCGUCGAGCUUUCCCAAGUACCCGCCAAGCAAAGAGUACGACGCCAAGCUCCGCGGCAAGGAGGCCAUGAGGCAAAACGCGGCGGCAACCAUAGCAGGCAACGGCUCCCUGUCCGUGAAGCCGGGAAGAAACGACGAACCCAAGCCAGUAGACGCCGCUGGAGCAGACCGCCAGAGGAGGCAGGUGCGUAACAACCCGAAGAGCAGCAGCCACCACUGCAGCACGCUGGAGGACAGCAUGUCGGGAUUCCGCAUGGAGCCGCGGGCAGCCGCCGGGCAGCUGUCGACGAUGCAGAACGCCGGGCAGUUCGGGUCGACGUGGUACAGGAAAGACUACCAGCGCGGCCGCGGGUUCCAGCGAACGACCAGCUCCGUCAGGGUGUUGAACCACGCCGCGCACCUGACGUCGCAGAGGUCCUACGCCACGUCCCGGGGCACCGACCUGCACCCGAGCUCGUCGGCGGCCAGGAAUAGCAACUCCAAGUACAACCGCCUCGACGUCGCCGAGCCCGCCAAUGCGCUUGACAGGCCCGUCCCUGCCAACAAAGACACCGCCAUGCCCACGAGGGACGCCCCUUCAGCUGUGCCUGGUUACAGAGGGCGGAACCGGAGGAUGAACUACUCCGGCCCGCUGGUGCCGCCGGGAGGGAACAUGGACGAGAUGCUCAAGGAGCACGAGCGGCAGAUCCAGGUGGCGGUGCGCAAAGCGCGCGUCGACAAGGAGAGGAUCAACCGCAACCAUUACUCACCAGCGGUAGAAAAUGACAUGCCAUCCUCACCGCCAGAUCGAGCCUGUCGUGCGUGCACAGAAACACCUCCACCAUAG
rnacentral:rRNA from 1 species